rnacentral:rRNA from 1 species
UACAGAGGUCUCGAGCGUUAGGCGGAAUCACUGGGCUUAAAGCGUGUGUAGGCGGAUCGGUAAGUACCUUGUGAAAUCCCACAGCUUAACUGUGGAACUGCUUGGUAUACUGCCAGUCUUGAGCCAGCUAGGGGCUACCGGAACAAAUGGUGGAGCGGUGAAAUGCGUAGAUAUCUGGAGGAACACCAGUGGGCGAAGGCGGCAUCCUGGACCGGCAUUGACGCUGAGGCGCGAAAGCUAGGGUAGCAAACGGGG